AGUAGUCAUAUGCUUGUCUCAAAGAUUAAGCCAUGCAUGUCUAAGUACGAGCCUCCAACAAGGUGAAACCGCGAAUGGCUCAUUAAAUCAGUUAUGGUUCCUUAGAUCGUAUCCAACCCUACUUGGAUAACUGUAGUAAUUCUAGAGCUAAUACAUGCCUCGAAGCUCCGACCCUCCCCCGAGGGGAAGAGCGCUUUUAUUAGACCAAAACCGACGUCGGUCCCGUCAAAAGGACCGUCUCGCCCUUGGUGACUCUGGAUAACUUUGUGCCGAUCGCACGGCCUCCGCGCCGGCGACGUAUCUUUCAAAUGUCUGCCCUAUCAAGUUUCGACGGUUGGCGACCUGCCCACCGUGCUCGUAACGGGUAGCGGGGAAUCAGGGUUCGAUUCCGGAGAGGGAGCACGAGAAACGGCUACCACUUCCAAGGAAGGCAGCAGGCGCGCAAAUUACCCACUCCUAGCUCGGGGAGGUAGUGACGAAAAAUAACGAUGCGGGACUCUAACGAGGCCCCGUAAUCGGAAUGAGUACACUUUAAAUCCUUUAACGAGGAUCUAUUGGAGGGCAAGUCUGGUGCCAGCAGCCGCGGUAAUUCCAGCUCCAAUAGCGUAUAUUAAAGUUGUUGCAGUUAAAAAGCUCGUAGUUGGAUCUCGGUUGCGGGUCGGCGGUCCCCCUCGCGGGGGUUUCUACUGCCGGUUCU
rnacentral:rRNA from 1 species